AGUGAAGAAGGCCAGGAAGAGCAGAGGAUGGUGCCAGGAGGAUGAUGUCGGGGGACACAGGCAGCUCAUGCCUGGAUCAGGCAGUGACUGGUAACAGAAGGAGAGUCCAUGCUGGUGGGCCCAGGGGAACAUAGGUGGUCAAGCAGGGCAGUACUUGGUGUCUGGGGAUGCAGUGUGCGACCUCCUGUAUUCGGUGUGUGUGUGUGUGUUAUGAAGAGAGAGGGAUGGAAAUUGUGACCAGAGAGUUGGAGUUGGGACCCCUGUCUUGAUCACUUGAGCAUCAGCAGCUCCAGGGAAGAACACAUUCUGAAGGAGGAACUCUCCAGCUAGGAUUUCAUCCUGUCCUAGAGGACACGAAGAGGUGGAGACCACCCCCACAACUAAACUUGAGGAUUACUAAGGCAAUGGGGACUGCCUAGGAAUAUUUUUGAGGGGGUAAAAGCACCCCAUAAUUGUGCUAAGUAACAAAAGACAGAACAAGCAGCCUUAAAACAUUCUACAUGAUACACUGGUAUUAGAAUAAUAAGAUCUUAAAGACCAUCCACUUGAAAACUGGAUUUGCCCCUGGUCAUAUGGGCAGACCCAUGGCAGACAAAGAACUAGAAGUUCCUCCUAACUCCCAACUCAAUGUCCUUUCCUUAAAGAAUAACUGUUCUUUAUUAUAAAUAGGCCAAGCUUUUAUUAUUUAGUAUAGAACUCAGGCUGAUAUUUUUAUUGAUGGAUUAAAAUUUGAAUUAUUUCUGUAGCAUAGUAUUUAAAAGUUUUCUUCUACAUAUUUGUUAUCAUUUUCUAGCAAAUAUCCUCAAAAUUGAAAACUGCAACGUCAAUGAAAUCAGUGAGCACACUACCAUCCUUCUAAUGGGAGGUCUAAUUUAUCAUUCAUGCAUAGUAAAAAAAAAAAGCAUAAUAUUUAAAUGUGUACUCUGUGAUUGUUUAUAAAACUAUUUAAGUAUAAAUAUUCCAAACAAAGCACUUAGCUUAUAAAUGAACUUAAAUCCUCAAAGUUAGGAUUUAAGUCACUCGUUUGGAAUUUGUUACAUAUUUUUCCUUUGUAAUAGUUGGUGACCAUAUUCUUAAGGCAGCCCACAAAAGUCUAGUAAAUUCCCUACUGUGGCUCCAGUGUUUACAUUUGUAAUGGAAACGUGUUGAAAAUGAAUACUAAUGUAGUGCUAGUCAUGGAAAGUAUUUAAAACACAAAGUAAAAGGAUUGGACACAUGAGUUUUCAAGUCGCUAGGAAGGGAGAAGGUAAUGGGUUAAUAUUAGGUCAUAGAGUUCUAUGUCUGGAUGCUAGGUGGCGCUAUUGAACCAGAACAGCUCGGUUAUUUGCCAAGUCAAGGGUUUAUAGAGGGAUGCUCAUAUGACUGUUCCUAUUACACAUAUUCACAUGUUCCUUGUCUUUCAUGUGCUUAUUUAUUUUGGCCCUUACCACCACUGAGAUUUUAGCUCCUAAAAAUUAUGACUAGAAAAAUACUGAUGGCUCACAGCAUGUCUUUAAGAGUUAAGGAGAAAAAGUGUUCAGAAAUACAUUAAUAUUCACUGCUCAGAAAUAUGUGAGUCUUGCCCCUUACUUACACAUUUUUGUGGAUGACUAUGGAUCAUUCUCUCAACUUCUCUGGGCUGGCUUCAGUUUCUCAUUUUUACUUUUAUUUUAUUUUUGAAACAAGGUCUUGCUCUGUCACCUAGGCUAGAGUGCAAUGGGUGCGAUCAUCAUAGCUCACUGCAGCCUCGACCUCCCCAAGGCUCAGGUGAUCCUCCCACUUCAGCCUGCCCAGUAGCUGGGACCACAGGCACAUGCCAUCAGGCCUGUUUUUUUUUUUUUUUUUUUUAGAUGGAGUCUCACACUGUCACCUAGGCUGGAGUGCAGUGGUGCAAUCUCUGCUCACUGCAACCUCUGCCUCCCAGGUUCAAGCAAUUCUCCUGUCUCAGCCUCCAGAGUAGCUGGGAUUACAGGCACCUGCCACCAUGCCCAGUUGAUUUUUUGUAUUUUUAGUAGAGAUGGGGUUUCACUAUGUUGGCCAGGCUGGUCUUGAACUCCUGACCUCGUGAUCCACCCACCUUGGCCUCCCAAAGUGCUGGGAUUACAGGUGUGAGCCACCACGCCUGGACUUUUUUUUUUGUAUUUUUAGUAGAGACGAGCUUUUGCUAUGUUGCUCAGGCUAGUCUCAAACUCCUAGCCUCAAGUGAUCUGUCUGCCUUGGCUUCCCAAAAUGGUAGGAUUACAGGUGCAAGUCACUAUACCUGGCCUCAGUUUCUCAUUUUUAAAAGGUGAUAAGUAAUAAACAAACAUAAUAAGGAUUAAUCAAUAAAAAAUAAUUAUGUAUAAGAUGACAUAUGUGAUCAUAUGUAAUAAUUAUGUAUAUGUUCAACCAGUGAGGUUGCUUCUACCGAGUAAACCUGCUGGGGCCUUGGUGCUCCCUAAUUCAAACUCAUGGUCAGGAUUGAGCAGUGUUUUCUGAAUGCCCACUCCACAGUACUUGUCCUAAUAUCAGCAGCUGCGCACCGGCUGGAAGAAAUACCAAGCAUAUUCUCUUGGUUAUCCAUCUUGCUAAAACUCUAAUUUUUAUUUCAUCUCAAGUACUUACUAUCCUAAGCUUCUGAGAUACUCUAUUCUGUCUCCAUAAAAUGCAAAUAUUAACAUAAAAUGACUGUUUAAAAAAAGUUCUAAAGGCUAAGUUUCUCCAAUAUUUUUGGUAGGAGACAAAUUUACUUGAUGUCAGCAUAUAUUUCUACAAGAAAGGAACAGAAGAAAAGACAGUUACGCUGUUAUUGAGAAAGGUUAUUAACCUGUCUAAAUGGUGAGUUAUUGGGACAGGUAGUAUUGAUUUGAAAGAAUCAAUGAAUAUCAUUUCAAUCUGAAAUAAGUGACAACCCAUAUGACUAACAGACAUUACGAUUUUUACUAGCUCUCCAAAGAGUCAUUGCUAUUAGUGUUUUUUCUUCUGUAAUGAGACUGGUAUACAUAUUUUUAGUAUUGCUAGAGAGGAGUUACCAGAAGUCAGCAAACUCCUAUUUUUUUUUUUGUUUUUGUUUUUCAAUAACAGGACAAACACCAAAGAAAAAUGGCCAGUGGUGUUUUUGCAUCUUAAUUCAGCUCUUCAGAUGGUUAGUUAAUCUACAAUGAGUUAAGGGUCACUAGAUCCCUUAAAUCAGUAUCUUAGAUUUUAGCUUUUCUUCUCUCUGUUCUCUAAUCUACUCAGUUAUCAAACUCUUCAAUAAAGGGAAAGAGUAAUGAUUUUAGUAUGCCCUAAGACAUGAACUUAGACUAAAAAUACAAAGAUGAGAUGGUGAAGUAACUAGAAACUUGCAGCUAUUCUUUCUUUAACCUACUUGACACCAACUCAGUUGUGGUGAUGAGAAAACAAUAUGGGUGCUAAGUCUUCCCUGAGGCUAAAAUAUAUUGAGAAACUGGCCAGGAGUGUGUGUUGAUCUCUUGUCCUCUGCCUCAGGGGACACGGAAACUUGUUGGGAUAGAGGAACUGUGGACUAGCUUGGUCUUCAAUGUUACCAUAGAAACAUAUCACAAGAAGAUGCCCAAGAGAACACAAAACACAGUAGAAGUUACUGAAGCAACAACUCAAAGGUUCAUUUUAUUGGGCAUAUAAUGUGUGGCAGCUGAGAGAGUUAUGCUAGGGUGAUAUUUAAAGUAUUUGACAACCAGCUCCACUCAAGAACUGAACUCAGAACAGUCACUGAGUGUGACACUGGCCCGGGGUCCUGAAGAUCCCUCUUGUGCCAUGAAUUAGUCCUUCCGUUACAUCACUGUUGGAAAAGGCGGGGGUAACAAGGACGGGCAGCCAGGCUGGCAGGUGCACCCUGAAGGCCGUAUAGAAGUGUUUCACUGUUUUAACCGCUAGUCCAGCUGGACCACGUGGACUGGCCAAGUGGCCUGGCUUAUGGAAACCUUUCAUCCCACUACACAGGAAAACCAGAUGUCCUUUAUUCUCUUUGAGAUAUUUACUAUGCCAAACUCUGAGGGAAAAAUAAUCUUUAAUUUAUAGGUGGAAAGAUCAUGGCUGAAGGUAAAAGAGUUAAUAGUAACUUGGUUUUCAGAAAUCUUUUCUCCUUGAAUUAACGAACUUUCAGAUCACGGAAUAAAGGCCCAUAAUUUCUGAGAAGACACAUAUUUAAAUGGAGAAAAUAGGAAGUCAAUAUGAUAUACCACGACAAGAGCCACUAAGUGGGUCCUCUGGGCUAAGCUUUUUAUAGGUGGUUUAUCUGUAUUCAAAAGCAUGAAGAUAAAAAUACCCUCAUCUAGGUUCUCAGGUCCACAACCCCUGUGCUGGGUUUUGCAUCCUGUGAAUGGUGUGUGUUCCAGACCUCAGGAUGGAUGGUGAUGUAACUGGAAGAGGACUCUCACGUUGGCUCCUCCUCCCAAAUGCUGGGACAAGAGAGUGCUCAUUAAAAUAAACAAUAUUAAUAAAAUAAAAACACAUACAUUUAUUUCGUACACUGGCUCUGAGGGUCAGAAAUUCAGGGGUAGCUUAGUUGGGUGGUCCUGGCUUGGGAUCUCUCAUGAGACAGCCAUUAACAUGUUGGUUGGGGCUGCAGUUAUCUGAAGGCUUGACUGGGGUCAUAGUAGCUGCUCCCAAGAUGGCUCACACACGUGGCUCUUGGUCUGAGGUCUCAGUUCCUCACUAUGUGAACCUCUCUUCAUCCAUAGCAGCUGAUCUCUCUCAGAGCAAAUGACUGAGCAGACAGUAACAAAGUUGGAAGCCAUAAUAUCUUUUAUGGAGAGUGUUCAUCUUAUGUGUCACCAGGAUUUAGUUUGCCCUUUAUCUCAGACUGUGUAUUAGACACACACACACCACACACCACACCACACCACACACACACACACACACACACACACACACACACACACACACACACACCAUAGAACAAGAUAAAGCCAAAAGGAGAAAAUGAUUAACAUAAACCUUUCUUCUUCAAAGGAGUCUAAUUUAGGAUAAGACCUCUCCUUGCACAAAGAACGGAGUUUAUGUUGUCUUCUAGAAAUAAAAAUCAGUCACAUCAAACUCUUUACAUUAAAAUUCUAUAAACUCUUUAAAUGGCUUGUUGUUGAAAAGACAAAGGAAAUCCUAGUUUCACAACCCCACUCAGGUAAAUGGGAUUUGAACUCUAAUGAGAGCUGGGAGGCUAAGGCAGCCUCCACCAACUAUCCACCUUCCUUCAGCAAGUCCCUGAUGGUGGUAGGGCCACCUUGACCUUGUGCAACGGGAUCCAGGGCUCUCUGGGCAAAGACCAGUUUCCCUGGGCCUUGGGACCUACCAGUGAUGCAGGUGGGGUUCGGGAACCCUGUGGAAUGUGAGGCAGCAGACUGCAUUUGGGGAGCUUUCAUCUGCUGCUUCCUUCUUUCUUUCUUUCUUUUUUUUGAGAUGAAGUUUCGCUCUUGUCGCCUAGGCUGGAGUGCAGUGGCGCGAUCUUGGCUCACUGCAACCUCCACCUCCCAGGUUCAAGCGAUUCUCCUGCCUCAGCCUCCCGAGUAGCUGGAAUUACAGGCUCCCACCAACACACCUGGCUAAUUGUUGUAUUUUUAGUAGAGACAGGGUUUCUCCGUGUUGGCCAGGCUGGUCUCGAACUCCUGACGUCAGGUGAUCCACCUGCCUCGGCCUCCCAAAAUGCUGGGAUUAUAGGCAUGAGCCACCGCACCGGGCCUAUCUGCUGCUUAUUUCUACAGGGCAGAAUGCCUUCUUCCAUCUCAGGACAACAAAACAGAACAAUAAACAGAUCACUGAAUGUGUAUUCAAGGCUUGUUGUCACAGCAGUAGAUUAAGGAGAAUAGGAAAAAACAAACAACGUUGUUUGUCUUUCUCUUUGGAUAAAAUGACAAUGAAAAAAUAAAUGAUGGAUUUCUGAAAGUAAUUAUACUUACGAUGAUACCACAGGCAGCCCUUGUAAUUGCUUUGCCACAUUCUAUUUCUUGCUGCUAUUUGGGGACCACUCGGUUUGUUAGGAUAAAAUCAUAAUUGUAUUUUCAAUUUGCUGCUCUAUCUAUUCCACUGUCAGGAUUUGAUACACUAGAGUGCUUUUAUCAAAUGGAAGUUGGGCCAGAGAGAAUUCAUCACAAGGAUGGCUCUUUCAUACUCACGCAUGUUUCCAUCAAUGGAGUCCAGGUGCACACACACGGAUUCAUUUGUACCCACCCCAACAACAUGCUCAAGACAAGGCUGAUGGAAAAUGUUGCCAGUUUCAGUUUCCAGCAACAUGCUCAAGACAAGGCUGAUGGAGAAUGUUGCCAAUUUCAGUUUCCAUAGGGAGAAAUGGAGCCAUUAAGCCUUUGGAACAUGGUGCUUUUAUGUCUGAACAUGAAGCUCAAGAUUUUGGCAUCUGCAGCUCCUGGUUCUAACUUUCCUUUGCAAGCCCAGGGAACUAACUGCCCUUUGUCAUCAGAAGAGAUCAUUUCACUCCUUUAUUUCCUGAGGCCUUUUCAAGGUGAGUAGCCCUGGACACAGACCUCUCAUGGAGAAGAGCUUGCUUACAAAUGAAGUUACCUGGGUCUUUGUAGAUACUGAGCACGCCCUUGAAGUAAUGAGGUAAAAAUCUUUCCAGUAACAGC
rnacentral:lncRNA from 10 species